rnacentral:rRNA from 1 species
AUUGAACGCUGGCGGCAGGCCUAACACAUGCAAGUCGAACGGUAACAGGAAGCAGCUUGCUGCUUCGCUGACGAGUGGCGGACGGGUGAGUAAUGUCUGGGAAACUGGCUGAUUGAGAGGGAUAACUACCGGAAACGGUAGGUAAUACCGGAUAACGUGGCAAGACCAAAGGGGGGGACCUUUGGGCCCCUUGGCAACGGGUUUGCCCAGAUGGGAUUAGCUGGUAGGUGGGGUAACGGCUCACCUAGGCGACGAUCCCUAGCUGGUCUGAGAGGAUGACCAGCCACACUGGAACUGAGACACGGUCCAGACUCCUACGGGAGGCAGCAGUGGGGAAUAUUGCACAAUGGGCGCAAGCCUGAUGCAGCCAUGCCGCGUGUAUGAAGAAGGCCUUCGGGUUGUAAAGUACUUUCAGCGGGGAGGAAGGCGAUAAGGUUAAUAACCUUGUCGAUUGACGUUACCCGCAGAAGAAGCACCGGCUAACUCCGUGCCAGCCGCCGCUGUAA